rnacentral:lncRNA from 1 species
UCGCCGGGUCAGCUUCCCCGGCCCAGUGCCCAGCGGGAUGAAGACGCCGGGCCCCGGGCAUCCCCAGGUUUGGAAUUAGGAUUAGGCGUUGGAGUUAACCGGACUCCGCGGAGUUCCGGGGACCCGGAGACAGCAUGAGUCUCAGCGCGCAGUCAGCAGAGGCGGUCCUGGCGCCAGGGACCCUGAUGUCUGAGGAAGAAGGUUCACAUCCAACUCUGCCCCUGGUGUGUCACGUGCCGGCCUUGUCAACGCACACGAGAACCUGACAGGGUCCCAUGGAAUUCAGACAAGGAAGUAAAGCAAAUGAGAAUGGCCCACAGGGGAGCAGUUCAAAUGCGCAGAAAAAGAUAGAGCAGCCCCAAUGAGGAAGGAAGGCUGGACAAGAAAUGGAUUUGUAGGGAAGACAAUGUGCACCCAUCGGAGCUCUGAUUGCUUUACUUUCACUACCCUCCCCUGCCCACUAACAUCGAAAAAGUA